CCGUCGAUAGCUCAGUGGCAGAGCGGUGGACUGUGACGAAUAAAAGCCGAACCAUAGGUCGCUGGUUCGACUCCGGCUCGACGGA